UGCCUCUCUCACCCAAGUCCCUGGGUCUCCAAAUACUCCAUAUGGGUGGGGGCAUCUUACACACACCCACACGCCCAUGGCCACAUUCGCUGGCUCAUCUCUGCAUUUCUAUGAGCGUCAGGCCUCCAUGGGCCACGUAGCCGCCACCUGCUGCUGUAACCCCAGCACAGGGGAACCUGCAUCACCAUUUUCCCUCCAUCCACCCUCACCCAGGAGCAGGUCCCGAUCCUCCGGACCAGGCUGAGGCUACAUCUUUCCGGGCCCACUCCCCAGCAGCGACGUGGAGGUAGAGGGAGGAGCUCUUGCCGACAACGCCAGCUUCCCCUGCCCUCUCUCCCACAGGAGCUCCCCUCCUCUCCCCCUUCGUUUCCCUCCUUAUCCCUCCCCUCCCCUCCCCUCUGCCGCAGCCCAGCUCCUAGCGCGUCAGCGUGGGCUUCCCGGAGCGAGUCGCUAGGUAACAGGGCUGGCUCCGCAGACCCGGGCCGGGGAAGCCCGCGCGCGUCGCCAGUAUCUGCGCCGAGGGGCGGGGGACGCACUGACCCUGUCCUGUCGGGGCCUGCAGACCCCCUCGGCUGGCUCGCAGUCCCCCUCCCUGUCUGCUUUAAGGACGGCUAUUGCCACCGCUGAGUUGCCCCUCCCCUGCGGGGACCCCGACGUCGCCGCCCCCUUCUCCUCCCCCGCUGGUCCGCACCACUCUCCGCACGGCCAGCCGCCCUCCGAGAUCUUCCCGCCGAGCCCAGGCGCGGGGCAUGAGGUGCCCCUGGGUGUCGCCUCCAAACAACCCAGCCUCGCGCACACCUCGCCAGCCGCUGACAGGGACAUGAGCAGCAUGAUUGGGUUCCGGUGCCCGGCGGCCAGCCUCAGCGGGAGGCGGCCAGUGGGUCUGCGCUGCUUGGAAGAAUGAGGCAGGAACCCGCGGCUACCUCUCUCUCCUCCUUCUCCUCGCCUUCCUCUGGCUCCCGCGCCCCGGACCCGGGCCGGGCUGUGGCUCUGCUGCGUGCCCUGCGCGCCCCCCACCUGCCUCCGGAUGCUCUUCUCGGUUAGCCUGGCGAGGAAGAUAAAGACGUUUGCAACCAAGAUGGUAAUCACGAGUGGCAAUGAGGAAGACCGGGGAGGCCAAGAGAAAGAGAGCAAAGAGGAGAGCGUGUUGGCCAUGCUGGGCAUCAUCGGAACCAUCCUGAACCUGAUCGUCAUUAUCUUUGUAUACAUAUAUACCACUCUAUGAAAGGCCCCACGAAGCCUCGGUGGCCUCAGGAUGGCCACACGACCAGGGUCCUGGGCGUCCGUAUAUCGGUGACCACACACUUCCGGGGGCCAGCAGGUUUAAAGACCACACACUGCUCCCUCAGUGCACCUUCGAACUUUCUAGCGGGUCACCAGAUGAACCGGUCCUGCUGUGAGGAGCAGACACUCUGAAGCACAAUGAAUCCAGCCGAGCUCAUUCAAGCCACAAGGAACUCAGCAUCUCCGGCAGGGGACCCGGCAGGCUGCCGGAAAGGCCAGCCUUCUGCACCAGCGAUGAGCACUCGGGUGAGGAAACGCUUUGCUCUGGAGUGCUGAUCACAUCCUACACUGGGAAGAGGAUGCGUGGGGUGGGCGCAGCUUGGCUGCCCUCCCCCCAGGACUGGCAGGAUGAGCACCAGGUGUGGUUCGCUGACAGGCAUUCCAUUCAUCAAAUGAUUCCAGCUGUUUGAUAUGGGAGAUAACGUAUUUUUCCUUUUUCAUUGGCUUGAUGUGUGUAUCUGUUCAUAUCGAGGUUUAUAAAUCUAUAUUUUUAAUAAAUGUGCUCUAUUUUUUAGCAUGAACCAAAUAUUUGGAGAAGGCACUUCUGGAUCCAUAGCUCUUCUUAGUUUGAAUCGCUUUUGCUCCAUCAGCUACAAGACAUCUUUGUCUCUUGUCUCAGCUCAUCUCGAGCCUUGCCCUCCAGCUCUGCCUCCUCUCCAUCACUGUCCCUUCAUUCUUUCUUCUCUCUUACCCCUGCCUCUCCCUUCCAUUUCUAAUUCUCCUGUCCUUUCCUGUCCCCACCCCACCCCCAUCUACUCUCUCCUCUCCUCAUCUCUUGUCUAGAGGACAUUUCCCCAUAAUACCAGCCUUGGUUUUGGCUGGUGUGUGCUUCAAGAUUGUCGAGCGGCUUUUCGUUGUUCUGUCAGAGAUAUAAAAUGAUUGUGGGCAUGCAGACCUUAGAUGCACCCUGUCUUUACUGAGAAUUAUGCAUGAACAAGGGCUGAGUGGCAGAUCAGCUUCUCCAGUUUUAAAAGGACUAUCACAGAGGAAGAUGAGCAGCCCUGCCUGCAGGUCACCCUUGGGACAGAGCAGUCACCAGCUCAAGCGCAGUAUUGCUCAUUUGCUCCUGUAACCAUUCGAUUAUCAGAUUUUGAUUUUGUUAUUAUUUAUUUCUUUGUGACCGUGAGAGAUGGGAACGGGGAGGGCUCAGUGUUCAGUGCGCUGCCAGCCAUCCCUUCCUUGGUGAGAUGCCUGGAGGAGGGGGGGUCUCUUCAGAAGUCAGUGGGAUGUGAGGGAAGUGAGACCUCCCCACUGUGAGAGUGCACACACAGUUCCUGCUGUAAAACACCGCUGUGACAAGUGACCCUUCAAGGGCAUUGGGAGGGGACUUGAUGAUCUCUGUUAAGGAACCCUGCACAUUUUAAAGCUGUUUCCCACCCACACUAAGCUCUUUCUUCUCUGAGGGGAUGGUUGAAUAAAUUUACCCUGCUCCCUGGCUCCCUAACAUAGCCCCCAACCUGGCUGCAGUGUGCCACCUUAAGGAGAGGGUCAGUGUUUAUUCCGCCAAGGGCAAAAAUGGCAGCAGCCUGCCCCUUUGGAUUCAGGUGACACUAAGGGGGGGGCAUGUCUCUGCUUGCCCCCUUCCUUAAAUGGCACCACAAGGAGUCAUUUCUUGGGCUCCACUAAGGGACCAGUCUCUUUUAUAAAUCAAAUACCUACGAGCACCUGGCUCUGCCCAGAGAUGUCUCCUCUUCCCCACUAGAAGGAUGGAUACUUUGUAUACAAGUCUCCAGGCUCUCUUAGUACCCUGCUAGAGGGAGAGCCUCUUACCUGUGUCCUAGAAGAAAAAAGGACAGCUCAAACCAGAAAUCUUCCCUGAGAUUACCUGGCACCCAGUGGAGUCAGAUUCUAGCCUCACCUGCCCAGUUCCUUAUCCCAGUGAGGACCUGGAUGCUGCUGUGGGAUGCUGAUGAAACUGACUGUGGCUGGAGAGCCUGUUGCUUUGCCGAGUGUCAACCCUGCACUUGCACACACACACACACACACACACACACACACACACACACACACAUACACACACACCAUAACAGGAAACAACCUUAGAACUCCUUAGACUCUGAAUUUGACACAAAUAAAAGAUGGGAGAGAGGCUGGUUAGGAAGGUGAGAGGCAUCCACGGGUGAGCACUACCUACCAGGCUGUGUGAUUCUAGACAAACUGUAAUUCUGCACAGUGGACUAAACAAACAAUAAAGGUGCAGUGGGGGAAACUAUUGGUGUCGCCAACUUCUUCGUGAGCCAGUGUGUAAUUGUUUGAUUUAAUAAAACUUGACCGUGGCUGUAUGUA